rnacentral:rRNA from 1 species
UAGGGAAUCUUCCGCAAUGGACGCAAGUCUGACGGAGCAACGCCGCGGGAGUGAAGAAGGAUUUCGGUUCGUAAAACUCUGUUGUUAGAGAAGAACAGCGCAUAGAGUAACUGUUAUGCGUGUGACGGUAUCUAACCAGAAAGCCACGGCUAACUACGUGCCAGCAGCCGCGGUAAUACGUAGGUGGCAAGCGUUGUCCGGAUUUAUUGGGCGUAAAGCGAGCGCAGGCGGUCAAUUAAGUCUGAUGUGAAAGCCCCCGGCUCAACCGGGGAGGGUCAUUGGCAACUGGUUGACUUGAGUGCCGAAGAGGAGAGUGGAAUUCCAUGUGUAGCGGUGAAAUUCGUAGAUAUAUGGAGGAACACCAGUGGCGAAGGCGACUCUCUGGUCUGUAACUGACGCUGAGGCUCGAAAGCGUGGGUAGCAAACAGG